rnacentral:rRNA from 1 species
AUCCAGACUCCUACGGGAGGCAGCAGUGGGGAAUAUUGCACAAUGGGCGAAAGCCUGAUGCAGCAACGCCGCGUGAAGGAAGAAGGGUUUCGGCUCAUAAACUUCUAUUAACAGGGGCGGAAGAAAUGACGGUACCUGAAUAAGAAGCACCGGCUAAAUACGUGCCAGCAGCCGCGGUAAUACGUAUGGUGCAAGCGUUAUCCGGAUUUACUGGGCGUAAAGGGAGCGCAGGCGGCGCGCCAAGUCUGAUGUGAAACCCCGGGGCUCAACCCCGGGCAUGCAUUGGAAACUGGCGGGCUGGAGUGCCGGAGAGGUAAGCGGAAUUCCUAGUGUAGCGGUGAAAUGCGUAGAUAUUAGGAGGAACACCAGUGGCGAAGGCGGCUUACUGGGCGGCAACUGACGCUGAGGCUCGAAAGCGUGGGGAGCAAACAGGAUUAGAUACCCGAGUAUA